GGCUACAGGACGAACGCUGGCGGCGUGCCUAAUACAUGCAAGUCGAACGGUCUUUCUAUGGAAGCUUGCUUCCACUGAGAAGAUAGUGGCGAACGGGUGAGUAACACGUGGGUAACCUGCCCAUAAGAGGGGGGAUAACAUCCGGAAACGGGUGCGUAAUACCGCAUAGUUUUCUUGAUCGCAUGAUCGGGAAAGGAAAGACGGCCUUUGUGCUGUCGCUUAUGGAUGGACCCGCGGCGUAUUAGUUAGUUGGUGAGGUAACGGCUCACCAAGACGAUGAUACGUAGCCGACCUGAGAGGGUGAUCGGCCACAUUGGGACUGAGACACGGCCCAAACUCCUACGGGAGGCAGCAGUAGGGAAUCUUCCGCAAUGGACGAAAGUCUGACGGAGCAACGCCGCGUGAGUGAAGAAAAGGUUUUCGGAUCGUAAAACUCUGUUGUCAGAGAAGAACAAGUUGGAGAGUAACUGCUCCAGCCUUGACGGUAUCUGACCAGAAAGCCACGGCUAACUACGUGCCAGCCGCCGC
rnacentral:rRNA from 1 species